CCGAGGCUGGCGGGGGCAGCGCGGCGCGGGCGGCGGAGCGGCGGGAUGCGGCAGUGCCGGGCCGCGGGGCUGGCGGGGCUGGCCGCGGUGCUGCUGGUGGCUGUGAGCAGAGCCCAGGUGCAGCAGGAGCCAGCGACAGAGACCACCGAGGGCAUCAGCAUCAACAUCACCUGCUCACACCCCAACAUACAGACCGGAGAUUACAUCUACUGGUACCGUCAGCUCCCGGGCCGAGGACCCGCAUUCCUCGUCAGCGCUGUCAAAGGCUCCAAGGAGGUGCCGGACCCGGAGGGGCAGCUGUGGGUGUCGGCAGACCGCCGCUCCAGCGUUCUGCGUCUCGCCCGGCCCCGGCUCGGGGACGCGGCGCUGUAUUACUGCGCCGUGGGCGCACGGGAAGCGAAGCCGGGGCUGCGGCCGGGCACGAACCGCUUGGGGCGGGGCGGGGGCACAGUGCCGUCCGGGCCCGCAGGGGGCGCUGCCUGCAUGGCCGCCAAACUCCAUCCUGACCGGGGUGCGCCGCCCUGAGGUCUCCACAGAAACGAGCGCUGCACCCAUAGCAGCCGUGAUUCAUUGAUCCCAAAUCGAAUCAAACUCAGCUGGGUCUGUGGCAGGGCUGCACGCCAUGUAUUUGUGGGGAACAGCAGGACUGACAGCAUGGGCUGUUUGACACCAGACGGACAUUCUCACAAUUCUGUCCCAUCUUCUGUCUUCUCCUCCUUCCCCAACACACCACAUAUGAGAACCAGGAAGGAGAGGGGCCUGAAAGCAGAACUUCUGCAAUGUGUCUAGUGAGGAAACAAAUUGAGGAAAUAUCCUAGUGGAAUGCAAGGUAACACAAUGUGGUACAUUAUCAUUGGAAUGGAAGUGAAUAAAUCAAAUAAAUGAAAAAAGGACAGUGUACAAAAACCAAAGAUCUUGCUCUAAUGCUGAAGGGGAGAUGGCUAGGGUGCACACACCACGGAGAUGAUCGGAAAGACAUCUCAGCACUCCCAAGCAGUUUUAUCUUUCCUUCUGAAUGGAAAACAGAAACACAAUGGUGAAGUGUUCUGGGAGCUGUAGUUCUUCUCAUCUCAGGUACUCAGGUAUUGAGGCACUGUCAGCAAUCCACAGGACGGCAGCAGUAACUCUUUGAGUCCCAGUGCUCUGCAUGAAGUCACGAUGUGGAAUGCCAAGAACAAAAACCAUAAAGCAAGAACAACAGUGAGGUGGGCUGGACUGCUGGGUUUCAUUUCUGUUCCUCAUCCUGCUGCCCUAUGGAGGAAUUGCUUGACCUCCUAGGACUCCUCUCACUGGGUUGCCCUGCACAUCUGCAAAGUGUGCUGGCAGCUCAUCAGGAGCCUUUAUCUGCUCACAGCACUGCAGCCUUGCCCUGCCACAAAAGUCUCCUCAGUCAGCUCCCCAUGACCUCAGCGCCCGCCUCUUCGGCUGUGUCUGUGCUUGAUGUGAGUGUGGAUGACAGGUGCUCACAUGUACCUGAAGAGUACAUGAGCUUCUACUUCUGUGCAUGCAUUGUUUGCAUGUGCCUUUGUGAGUGUGAAGAUGUAAAUACAACCGCGUUCAGGCACAGGUCUGCCAUC